GGGGUUGUAGUGUAGUGGCUAUCACGUAUCAUUUGCACCAUCGAUUGGUUCAAUCUUGAUAAGGUCCCGGGUUCAAUCCCCGGCGACUCCA
rnacentral:tRNA from 1 species